CGUGCCAGCAGCCGCGGUAAUACGUAGGUGGCAAGCGUUGUCCGGAAUUAUUGGGCGUAAAGCGCGCGCAGGCGGUCCUUUAAGUCUGAUGUGAAAGCCCACGGCUCAACCGUGGAGGGUCAUUGGAAACUGGAGGACUUGAGUACAGAAGAGGAAAGCGGAAUUCCACGUGUAGCGGUGAAAUGCGUAGAGAUGUGGAGGAACACCAGUGGCGAAGGCGGCUUUCUGGUCUGUAACUGACGCUGAGGCGCGAAAGCGUGGGGAGCAAACAGGAUUAGAUACCCUGGUAGUCCACGCCGUAWWCGAWGAGUGCUAAGUGUUAGGGGGUUUCCGCCCCUUAGUGCU
rnacentral:rRNA from 1 species